AUUGAACGCUGGCGGCAGGCCUAACACAUGCAAGUCGAACGAGUGGCGGACGGGUGAGUAAUGUCUGGGAAACUGCCUGAUGGAGGGGGAUAACUACUGGAAACGGUAGCUAAUACCGCAUACCAUCAGAUGUGCCCAGAUGGGAUUAGAUGGUUGGUGGGGUAACGGCUCACCAAGGCGACGAUCCCUAGCUGGUCUGAGAGGAGGACCAGCCACACUGGAACUGAGCCACGGUCCAGAUGCCGACGGGAGGCUGCAGUGGGGAAUAUUGGACAAUGGGCGCAAGCCUGAUGCGGCCAGGCCGCGUGGUUGAAGAGGGCCUUCGGGUUGAAAAGUCCGUUCAGCGGGGAGGCGUUACCCGCAGAAGAAGCACCGGCUAACUACGUGCCAGCAGCCGCGGUAAUUC
rnacentral:rRNA from 1 species